rnacentral:lncRNA from 1 species
GUGAGCGUUUUUGAGCUCACCCUAUGCUGAGCUCACUGGAUAUUUUUUGUAUUAGAUUAAAUUAUCUAUUAUUAUAUAUUUAAUCUUAUCCUAAUAGAUUAAUAUAUUACAUUAACUUAAUCUAUUAUCAUAAUAGAUCGAUUAGAUUAAUAAUAGAUUAAUCUAUUAAUCCACUUGCCUGUUAAUAUGUUCUACGGAGGUUCUGGGAGUUUGCCUUCGUCCGGUCAUAUCCAGCUCUGCUGAGUACAUUUCCACCUCCACGGUUACUCGAAGCUUCUCGCGAUCUGCUCUAUAGUCUCCUCGCGAUCUGCUCAACUAUCUCUGCCGCAUCAAGCACUUGGUCUCCUUGCUUAACAGCAAAUAGGAAGAUUAAAGCUCAGACUUGAUAUAAGGGAUUGAUCCCGCCCGCUUGCUGCCUCAGACACCCAGGGUCAUUAGAUCUUGGAUCGGGGCACCCAAAUCGACAGGUCGAUUGGUUCUUACGUUACUGAAUCUUUUUAGGUUCGUUUCACCUUCGUCCGGUCAAAUCUGAUCGGCACCACCACCUAUGUUCUGGGCAGUGCUAUCUCCACCACAACCACAUAUGCUCUGUGCCAGUGCUAUCUCGAAGAGAUUUAUAGUUCCAUCAUCAAGUCAACAUGUCUCCAUGUUUUGAUGGACGUGAUACUUCGAC